GGGGGCGAACGGAUUCGACGGGGAUAGUGAGGCACAAGCUGCAUGUCGAGAUUCCAUCCACCUCGUAAAACGGUGGACCCAAGUAAGUGCAGAAGCACUGCCAGUCGCUGCCUAAGAGAUAGGCAUGCCGUUUCUCGGGGAUUCUCCUGCGGUUCCCGGGAAGCGUCGAUGAGCAGGAUAGCGAACCUGGCGCGCCCUGAACCUGGUGAGCGAAGCAUUUUCGGGGCUGGUUUGGCGGCGCCCUUCCUCUUCGGGUGCCGCUCGACGAGAACAAAGAAGAGGAUAUGCAUGUAGAGGCUUGCUGCUGAAUGUCCUCGGACGCGGGUUCGAUUCCCGCCGCCUCCACCA
rnacentral:tmRNA from 1 species